rnacentral:rRNA from 1 species
GAUGAACGCUGGCGGCGUGCCUAAUACAUGCAAGUCGAACGAAACUUCUUUAUCACCGAGUGCUUGCACUCACCGAUAAAGAGUUGAGUGGCGAACGGGUGAGUAACACGUGGUCAACCUGCCCAAAAGAGGGGGAUAACACUUGGAAACAGGUGCUAAUACCGCAUAACCAUAGUUACCGCAUGGUAACUAUGUAAAAGGUGGCUAUACUACCGCUUUUUGAUGGGCCCGCGGCGCAUUAGCUAGUUGGUAGGGUAAAGGCUUACCAAGGCAAUGAUGCGUAGACGAAUUGAGAGGUUGAUCGGCCACAUUGGGACUGAGAAACGGCCACAACUCCUACGGGAGGCAGCAGUAGAGCAUCUACCACAAUGGGCGAAAGCCUGAUGGAGCAACGCCGCGUGGGUGAAGAAGGUCUUCGGAUCGUAAGACCCUGUUGUUAGAGAAGAAAGUGCGUGAGAGUAACUGUUCACGUUUCGACGGUAUCUAACCGGAAAGCCACGGCUAACUACGUG